GGCAGUUCUUGGGUGACACACCCUGGAAUCGGGCUCCCUCCUCUCUGGUUCUGGAUGUGUCACCCAAGAACCACA
rfam:Myotis lucifugus cont2.12738, whole genome shotgun sequence.